rnacentral:rRNA from 1 species
GAUGAACGCUGGCGGCGUGCCUAAUACAUGCAAGUAGAACGCUGAAGGAAGGAGCUUGCUCUUUCCGGAUGAGUUGCGAACGGGUGAGUAACGCGUAGGUGACCUGCCUGGUAGCGGGGGAUAACUAUUGGAAACGAUAGCUAAUACCGCAUAACAGUAGAUGUUGCAUGAUAUCUACUUAAAAGGUGCAAUUGCACCACUACCAGAUGGACCUGCGUUGUAUUAGCUAGUUGGUGAGGUAACGGCUCACCAAGGCGACGAUACAUAGCCGACCUGAGAGGGUGAUCGGCCACACUGGGACUGAGACACGGCCCAGACUCCUACGGGAGGCAGCAGUAGGGAAUCUUCGGCAAUGGACGGAAGUCUGACCGAGCAACGCCGCGUGAGUGAAGAAGGUUUUCGGAUCGUAAAGCUCUGUUGUAAGAGAAGAACGAGUGUGAGAGUGGAAAGUUCACACUGUGACGGUAUCUUACCAGAAAGGGACGGCUAACUACGUG